ensembl:lncRNA
AGCCCGUAGACAACGAUGCAGAGGACCAGGUUUCACUAUGCUCCUUACAGUGGAUCCUUAGGAUACUCACACCAACUACAUCUAUUUGGAUCCCAACCUGGCCAGUGUGGUUGGGUAAGUUAUAUAGUCAUCACUCCAACCUGGCCAGUGUUGUUGGGUAAGUUAUAUAUUCAUCUUUGCCGAUAAUGGACACUACUUGUGUUGUUCUAAUUUUAGAGUACAAAAUACAAGGGCUGGUCUGCGUCCCAAAUGUCGCCCAAAGUCACUGAGUGGACAAAACUUUAGGAACACCUGCUCUUUCCAUGACAUAGACUGACCAGGUGAAUCCAGGUGAAAGCUAUGAUCCCUUAUUGAUGUCACUUGUUAAAUAAACUUCAAUUCAGUGUAGAAUGAAGGGGAGGAGACAUGUAGAUGAAGGGGAGGAGACAUGUAGAUGAAGGGGAGGAGACAUGUAGAUGAAGGGGAGGAGACAUGUAGAUGAAGGGGAGGAGACAGGUUAAAGAAGGAUUUUUAAGCCUCGAGACAAGGAUUGUUGUUGUGUGCCAUUCGGAGGGUGAAUGGGCAAGACAAAAUAUUUACUGUUCGUGCAUUUGAACGGGGUAUGUUAGUAGGUGUCAGCCGCACUGGUUUGGGUUUGUGAAGCACUGCAACACUGCUGGGUUCCCCGUGUGUAUCAAGAAUGGUCCAUCACCCAAAGGACAUCCAGCCAAUUUGACACCACUGUGGGAAGCAUUGGAGUCAACAUGGGCCAGCAUCCAUGUGGAGCGCUAUCAACACCUUGUAGUGUCCACGACCUGACGAACUGAGGUCAUUCUGAGGACAAAAAGGAGGUACAACUCAAUAUUAGGAAGGUGUUCCUAAUGUUUUGUACACUCAGUGUAAUAGUGCACUACUUUUAACACGAGCCCUAUGGACCCAGGUCCAAAGUAGUGCACUAGACAAGGCACCAUUUGGAUUCUCAACACAAGUUGUUUAUAUGAGAUUAACAAGGAUGGGGUCAAGUUCAGAAUAAGGGAUAGUCACUGUCUUGAAAAUGAUUUGGGUUUCCAUGUGCUUUUCUCCGCAGGCGGUUUCUCCAAAGCAAGAAUAACAACAUUGAUCGACCGAUAGUCCGGUGAGUCGGCGACAUUUUUAGGGGAAGAGGUGCCCACUAAAAAAAAACCCAGAAAGGAACAAUUACACAUACAGUAUUGCCUGUUCAUGGUGUUUGUGAGAUCCUUGUUCUUCACUCAAAAACUUUCACAAGGGCCGCGUCCAUGUUUCUAGUGUCAUUUUGUGUAUUGCACUCGUCUCUCAUAGUUGUCAGUGACUGUAUGAAUUAUAUUACAAUGAAAAACUUUCAACAACAUUAAAAAGACAUUCGAUCAGACACAAAUAUAUUUAUUUUGAUGCAACACAGAACAUUGGGAAAAAAACAAGGGUCAUUAAUAAUGGAAAAUAUUCAACCCUCGCUAUAGUAUGGGACAGUUUUGCUAAGAAUGGACUGGCUAAUGGGUAGUUUCCCCAAAUGGCACCCCUGUUCACUUUACAGUGCACUACUUUCGACCAAGGCCAAUAGCAGUCCGGUCAACAGUAGUGCACUAUAUAGUGGACAGGCUGCCAUUUGACCUUGUAUUUAGAAGGUGGAUUCAGAAAUGCUGGGGAAAAUUUGAUAAUUCGGUUUGUUUAUUCUGAAGGUAUGUAGCAGACUGUUUGUUUAUUCUGAAGGUAUGUAGCAGACUGUUUGUUUAUUCUGAAGGUAUGUAGCAGACUGUUGUUUAUUCUGAAGGUAUGUAGCAGACUGUUGUUUAUUCUGAAGGUAUGUAGCAGACUGUUUGUUUAUUCUGAAGGUAUGUAGCAGACAGAGACUGUUGGGGUUGUUAUUCUGAAGGAAGUAAUGAUAAGC